GCCCUUGCCUCAAGACGCCAUUACGAUCUCUUCGGAGAGACCGCCCGCAGGCCGCCCGAUCCCCCGACGCGCUUAACUCCCCCCCGCCUCCCCCUCCCAUUUACCUAGAGAUCCCGAGGGAGCGAAACUCCGACGGCUUCGAGAUAGGUGCUGGGGAGAAACGGAGGAUAAUGGCGUCUUCCGUCCUCUCGCCUCAAGCACCCUCUUCCUCUCCUCUCGCACACGCUAGUGCCGAGGGGCUAACAUCUCACGAGAUUUAAGGGAAUCUCGCGCGCUCAUGCGCGCGCAGCAAAGGGGUGGGGGAGGAGGGGUUCGAAGCCCGAGAUCUGGCGCGCCAAGGGAGAAGCCGAGGGCGCGAAAGUCGGGGAGGGAGGUGGAGGGGGGCGCGGAGGGAGCGGUCGCGGUGAGCCGAGGACGGGCCUUUGCCUGCUCCUUCCCGCACCCUCUUCCCCCUCUCUCCUCCCCCAGCGCAGUGGUGGCGGGAGACAGCGUCAUUCGACUAAGCAGUGGACUGAGAGCAGCCUGAACUGUGGACGAGAAUGUUGGGGAGGAUCUCAAGCUGGUGCCAUUGAACUAGACAUUCUU
rnacentral:lncRNA from 1 species